GAUGAACGCUGGCGGCGUGCUUAAUACAUGCAAGUCGAACGCUGAAGCUUGGUGCUUGCACCGAGCGGAUGAGUUGCGAACGGGUGAGUCACGAGUAAGUAACCUGUCAGGUAGCGGGGGAUCUCUAUUGGAAAGGAUAGCUAAUACCAUAUACUAGCAGAUCUUGCUUGAUUUCUGUUUGAAGGGUGCAAUUGCAUCACUACAUGAUCGACCUGCGUUGGAUUAGCUAGUUGGUGUGGUGACGGCUCACCACGUCGACGAUACAGAGCCGACCUGGGAGGGUGAUCGUCCACACUGAGACUGAGACACGGCCCAGACUCCGACGGGAAGCAGCAGUAGGGAAGCUUCAGCAAGCGGGAUGGCCCUGACCGUGCAGCAGCGCGGGAGUGAAGAAGGUUAUCGGAUCGUAAAGGUCAGCUGUAAGAGAAGGGCGAGAGUGAGAUUGGAAAGUGCACACGGUGAGGGUAUCUUACCAGAAAGGGACGGCUAACUACGUG
rnacentral:rRNA from 1 species